rnacentral:rRNA from 1 species
GACGAACGCUGGCGGCGUGCUUAACACAUGCAAGUCGAACGCUGAAGCUCAGCUUGCUGGGUGGAUGAGUGGCGAACGGGUGAGUAACACGUGAGUAACCUGCCCUCUUCUUUGGGAUAACGCCCGGAAACGGGUGCUAAUACUGGAUAUUCACUGAUUCUCGCAUGGGGGUUGGUGGAAAGGUUUUUUCUGUUGGGGGAUGGGCUCGCGGCCUAUCAGCUUGUUGGUGGGGUGAUGGCCUACCAAGGCUUUGACGGGUAGCCGGCCUGAGAGGGUGACCGGUCACAUUGGGACUGAGAUACGGCCCAGACUCCUACGGGAGGCAGCAGUGGGGAAUAUUGCACAAUGGGCGAAAGCCUGAUGCAGCGACGCCGCGUGAGGGAUGGAGGCCUUCGGGUUGUAAACCUCUUUCGCUCAUGGUCAAGCCGCAGCUUUGGGUUGUGGUGAGGGUAGUGGGUAAAGAAGCGCCGGCUAACUACGUG